UUUCUGGAAGAAACCGAACCGACUCAAACCCCAUAUGAGAAGUGCUCUGAUCCUAUCGACAAGGUCACAGAAUCAAUCCAGUCGCACCUCAAACUACAUUUUGAUACCCCAGGUGGACAGCAAUCUGAGUCACUAAAUCUGCUAGCUUCAGGGAUGACCACAGCCAGGGCAGCUCGACUAUUCUAUCAAAUGACUGUUUUGGCAACUUUAGAUUACAUCAAGGUUACUCAGCUGGAACCGUACGGGGACAUCUUGAUCUCCAGGGGAACCGUACUGGUGCUGCAAUGUUGCGAACAGUUUCGCUGCGGAGGUUCUUGCAGUGCCCACAUCCGUGUUAAUAUUAUACAGCAGUUACAUUUUGCACAGGAGGUCUUGUAGGUUAUAUUAUUAUUGCUUAUGCUGAAGAGAAGGAAAGGAAGCAAAGUUAUAAGGCA